UUAUCUGCCCAGUGAAUUUUUAACGGCCGCAGUACCCUGACUGUGCAAAGGUAGCAUAAUCAUUUGACUUUUAAUUGGAGUCUGGAAUGAAAGAAAGCACGUAGAUUUCUUGUCUCGCGAAUUAAUAUUUAUAAAUUUUUAAGGAAGUGAAAAUACUUCUAAUUAAAAUAAAAGACGAGAAGACCCUUAGAAUUUUGAUUACUCAGACUUAUGUUAGUUUGAUAAUUUUUGUUGGGGCAACAAUAUUUCAUAUAUAAUAAAUAUUAACCUUAAUAAUAUACGACGAUUUAAUAAUAAAAAAAAAAUUACCUAAGGGAUAACAGCAUAAUUUAUAAUAAUAAGUUUGUGACCUCGAUGUUGGACUAGGUACUAUUAAAGCUAACCGUUUUAA
rnacentral:rRNA from 1 species